rnacentral:rRNA from 1 species
CCUGCCCAAGAGAUCGGGAUAGCACCUGGAAACAGAUGCUAAUACCGGAUAACAACAGAUGAUGCCUAUCAACUGUUUAAAAGAUGGUUCUGCUAUCACUCUUGGAUGGACCUGCGGUGCAUUAGCUAGUUGGUAGGGUAACGGCCUACCAAGGCGAUGAUGCAUAGCCGAGUUGAGAGACUGAUCGGCCACAUUGGGACUGAGACACGGCCCAAACUCCUACGGGAGGCAGCAGCG